UACAGAGGGGGCAAGCGUUAUUCGGAAUUAUUGGGCGUAAAGGGCGCGUAGGCGGCUUUGCAAGUCGGGUGUGAAAUCCCCGGGCUCAACCUGGGAACUGCAUCCGAGACUGCAUUGCUAGAGUAUGGGAGAGGGAAGCGGAAUUUCUGGUGUAGCAGUGAAAUGCGUAGAUAUCAGAAGGAACAUCAGUGGCGAAGGCGGCUUCCUGGACCAAUACUGACGAUCAGGUGCGAAAGCGUGGGGAGCAAACAGG
rnacentral:rRNA from 1 species